rnacentral:rRNA from 1 species
UACAGAGGUCCCAAGCGUUGUUCGGAUUCAUUGGGCGUAAAGGGUGCGUAGGCGGCGCGGUAAGUCGGGUGUGAAAUCUCGGAGCUUAACUCCGAAACUGCAUUCGAUACUGCCGUGCUUGAGGACUGGAGAGGAGACUGGAAUUCCUGGUGUAGCGGUGGAAUGCGCAGAUAUCAGGAGGAACACCGGUGGCGAAGGCGGGUCUCUGGGCAGUAACUGACGCUGGAGGAGCGAAAGCGUGGGAGCGAACAGG